rnacentral:rRNA from 1 species
AUGGGAAGUUCAAGCGUUGGGUCAGUAGCGGCGGUGUGCAGGAACAUGGAGGGGCUCUUUCUCGGUGCAUCCACUAUCGUGGUCAAGGGUAUCUCCGACCCUACGACACUAGAAGCCAUGGCAGUCAGGGAAUCGAUGGCAAUAGCAGAGGAUCUCCAAUUGCAAGCUAUUCACGUGGCGACUGAUUGCAUGGACGUGGUGAACGAUAUCAAGCAGAAGAGUAGCCCGAGCUAUGGGGCCAUUAUACAUGAGAUUAUAGAGUACUCUAGUAGUUUUAACUUAUGUACUUUUGUUCAUGAGUUUAGGAGCUCAAAUUUCGAAGCUCGCAAUCUAGCGAAGCAUGCUUUGGGACUGGAGAUAGGUCGCCAUGUCUGGUUAGGCCACCCCGGCGAUUUUAAUUCCGUCCAUGUAAAUAUUGUGACGGUUUAA